GGUCAGUAAACGCUCCACAGUGAGCGCUGUUGCGUCGGUGGAGAUGUUGUUAACUACUGUUUUCUGACCUCUCUGACGCUUUCUUGAGCCUCACCCACCAUCUCCCCGGGUUGAUGCUGUGCGGCAGUGCAUAGAGGGACUCAACACAGCCAUCAUCUAAACUUAAGAAGCCAAAACUUACCACUUCCACACGGGAUGGGAGGAUAUCUUUUUUCCCAUGACUGACAUCCUGCAGUGCUAAGGUCCUGCUGUAGGCUACGGCUUGCCCAAAUAAAGAGCAACUUCUUCAAGGAAGCUGAAGUGCCUCUGCCUGUCAAGCUCACCACAAUAUGCAGCUAUAACGGCUUUUGAAAAGACUUUGUAGGAGAUUGUGGAGUGCGUUUAAUCAUUAUGAAGACAUUCCACUUGGCAGAAGAGCAGCAAACAUGUCUUUAAACAAGUAGAUAAGAGACCCGCAGGUAAGUGUGUGUGCAUGGACGCAUGGGGGCAGCUUGCUUUGAUUACAUAAUGACAUCAAGCAUUGCUUUGUUAUUCAUGGGGUCUCCACAACAACUGAACCCAGUAGGAGUGAAAGUGUAGCCUCAGCAGCACUUUGCUUUGAGUGGGACGCCUCUAUCCCUCCAUUGUCUUCUCGCGUGGACGACAGAAUGAAUCAGCGUUCGAUUAGACUUUCAUGAGAGAACCCACGGCUUUUAUUUCCUAUGCAUCACCUCUGCGGUCAGAGAGGUAGACGCAAAGCGUGAUGUAUCGCCCAAAAACCCACACAAAUGCAUUAUGGCGAGGUCUUACAGCUACUUAUCAGGGGACAAAAUGAGUUUAGAGCAAAGAUGGACGCCCCGCGGUGGAGAGAGAAUUGAGUGUUCUGUGUAUUUGGUAUUCAUUCUACCUGCUGAAACACUUGAAAUAUUGCUUGCCAGACACAGUAGUUAGCUAGAUAGCCUAUUUCAGUGUUUGGUGAUGAAGUUUGACAAUUCUCAUCAACAGCUAGCUAGGGAGCUUGUUAGCUAUUUACAUAGUUAGCUAGAUAGCAAUAGUAAUAGAUGGCUACUAAGAUAGAAACCCAUAUAGCUACCCCAUUUUGUUGUUUUGGGAAUUAUGUAAUAAUUGACAUUAAGUCAAUUUAAAUAGCAUUUAGACAACGACUGUAGCUAGGUAGCUAGCUUUACGGUAUGGAUCAACAACGUAGCUGGUUAGCAACUUGGAUAAAUAGUUAGAGCCCUCUAGGAAAUAAAUAACAACCCUAUAGUCACCUUUACACUUAUAUUGCACUGGAUAAGUAAUGCACUGUAUUUGCGCUUGUUCACCCUUUUCCUUUUCAUUCAUCUCACAGAAACACAUACAGUCGUCCCCAUUUAUCACAGAUGGUGAAUUUCAGCAAACAACGAUUCUAUAUUAAUAAUAUUUUUGUAGCUACAGCAUCAUUGCAGGCACACAAGAAGAGUUCAAAAAGAGGUGUCAGUCUCAUUCAUUAGUUUAUUUAGAUAACGUUUCGGUCCGUUUGACCUUCAUCAGACAUAUUAUUAAUGUAAUAUUAUUGUAAUUAUUAAUGUAAUAUUAUUACCCAUCUCCGCCCUACACACAUAUAUGUAUGUCCCCGAUGGGUGCAGGCAACCAAUCCGGGGACUUAGGGGGCGACCUGUUUUGAUGAGUAUCACCUGUCGAAGAGCAAUAACAUUCAUUUAACAGGUGUACAGAUUUUAACAUAAUAUGAAAAACAUUUUUUUUACAUAAUUCAAUUCAAACACAACACAUGAACACAUGUACAAAUAGGGGCAACCAUGCCAAUGAUUUCAAAACAGUUGAUGAACAGCAGAUGAAAUUAUUUAAAUAAAAAAGCAGCAAAUACUUUUAUAGAAAGAGGAGGGGGGAGGAAAGAAAACCCAAGCAACUGAAGAAAACACAUUUGGUAUUAAUUCUACCUGCUGAAACACUUGAAAUAUUGCUUGCCAGACACAGUAGUUAGCUAGCUAGAGCUUGUUAGCUAUUUACAUAGUUAGCUAGAUAGCAAUAGUAAUAGAUGGCUACUAAAAUAGAAACCCAUAUAGCUACCCCAUUUUGCUGUUUUGGGAAUUAUGUAAUAAUUGACAUUAAGUCAAUUUAAAUAGCAUUUAGACAACUACUGUAGCUAGGUAGCUAGCUUUACGGUAUGAGUCAACAAUGUAGCUGGUUAGCAACUUGGAUAAAUAGUUAAAUAGCGAGCUUGGUGGCUAGCUCACCAUUUGAGUGUGUUGUGAAUUAGGUUAGCAAAUGUGUACAAUAUAGAGAUGAUGGUUUUGCAAAACAAGGAACAAGAGGGGGGGCAUAAGUGCAGUGUGAGGAAAAAGGCCAAGCAGGGAGCCAUAAACUGCAUUUAUAAACAUGUCGCUAUAGUAACCAAGUAAUAUUUUCACUAUAGCGACAGCCCAGGGGAGGGGAAGGUGACAAAGUGGGUCAGCGUUUAAACAGCAUCGCCACAAUCAGGCUAGUUAUUCACAUUAAAGAAAGACAGAGUAUGAGAGCAAUAUAGUGGUAGUGGUGGAGGGGGGGCAUUAAAAUAAAUGAGGCAGAGGAUGUAACUUGUGAGGUUUCUAUUUUUUUUUUCCCAAACACACACAGAAAACCACGCACAGUACCCACUGUCAUUCUGUGAUUGGUCCUUGUUUGUGUGAUUACAUCCUUUCCAGGGUGCUCAGAGUUCCAUCCCGCCCUUGCAACACUGUUGGCGAGGUAACGACCAAAUAAGGUGUGAUUGAACACGGAAGGUAGAGGUCAUUUAGCCUGUACUGCUACAGGUACGUGCUUCACAUACAGUGUGCCUCUUAUCCACGUACGGACUGUGUACCCUUUAGCUGAGUGAUUGCACACAGAGGCAAUCAUGCGUGUAUGUGCGCAUGUCCCACUUAUGUUGUUGUUUUUAUUGCCAUUAUGAAGGUGGUGCACCAACCUUGCCAGCUCUGCUAAGCAGCCAUUAAUGUAACUACUUUGUAACUAUAUUGCUGCACAGACAAUCCCGACAAAGCUUUGCCCCCCCACCGAUGCCACCCACCUUGCUCCAGAUCCCCCCACUCCCUUCCUGUUAGUCCCUCAGUCUCACCUGACGGGACUGCAGAUAGAAGGCUCACGCAGCCCGUGGCACCAGCAGGGCCAGAGCCAGGUGGGGUCCCUCACAGGGACUCAACAGACCGUGCACGUUUGACUCGGUGAAACAGUGCAAACUGCAGAAUUCAUCACACGCCCAGCACUACUAGCAGGCCAGCUGAGGCCCACUUGUCCCCUUACCACAUCCAACAACAAAAGAACAACCUGUCCACCACAGGAUCCAGUCAGGAUUACAACAAUGUACACACUGUACUAGACACAUUUUUAUAUUGCAUGUAGACAGACGUGUACGUGUGAGUGGACAAACAUAUGUUAAUAUUAUGUGUGUUAUGUACAUGCGGAGACUGACUUACAUUGCAUAUGUGUGUGUGUGUGUGUGUAACUGAACAUUUAUAUAAUGCAUGUAUGUGAAUGGACCGUCAUUAUGUUGGCAUGUGAAUGGACAAACACAUUUACACUGUAUUCAAGAAUGGACACACAGAUGCUUACAACAUGUACUGUACAUAAAUGGAUAAAUAUAUGUUUACGUAGUGCACAUACAGUACGGAUAUUUAGAGUACAACUUGUACACGAAGGGACAAAUGUGAAUGGAAUGACAGAUUGUUCACGGACAGACAUUCACAUUUUUUGAGUGUGAGAAUAGACUGACAGAUGUUUGCAUUAUGUCUGAACACCAAGCGUGUCUUUGAAAGGACAAGGAUGCGCUUAUGCGAAUGGACAGACUGACUUACAUUAUGUUUGUGUGUGUGUAAAUUGACAGACAUGUUGCAUGUAGUGUACAUGAAUGGACUGUGAAUUGACAAGAUAUAUAUAUAACAUGUCAGCGACAUAUUUACAAUACAUAUGUGAAUGGACGGACAGAUGUAUGAAAAAUGUAAGUGAAUAGACAUACAUUCACAAUAGGUAAUUCAGUGAGCAUUAUGUGUAUGGAAAGACAAAUGUUGACAUUUUGUGACUAUGAGAAUAGACUAACAAAUGCUUACAUGAUGCAUGUAUGUGAAUGGAUAGACAGGUGAAUGGAGCAGGCGUGUAUUUGAAAGGACAGAAACCUAGCCUUCCUACGGCUCUAGCUACGCCUACUUAAGCACAGCAGCAGCGGCGGACACCGUGUCAUUAGUUUUUCCCUCUUGGCCCCGCCCUCAGUGAGCGAUGGCGACCGUGUCCUCAAGUGAGCGUUAUCUCUACUCUCAUGUGACUCCAGUGUAGUUAAUAACAUGCAAGCCCCGCAUCCUUCAUCGCACUUCCUCAUCUCUUUCUUCCUCACUUUGCCUCUUCCCACCAGCCAUUUAAUUGAUCCCCUUCCUUUCAUUUUUUUUGCUUCCUCUUGCUUUUUUUCCCUCUCCGCCCCCCCCUUCCUUGGCGAUAGAUAACGGUAGCGAGGAAAUGUAUUCCACGGGGAUCCCUUGAGGGGACCGUAAAGAGAUGAAUGCCAAGACGCUAUCACGCAACAUGCAAAUAGAUAUACAGCGCUUAAGUUGGGAAGAGUGAUGCACACGUGCUGCACAUGCAGACUUAUGGGGAUUUUGUAUGUAGCCAGGCAGCUGCUCUACCAAUAUACAUAAUUCAUUGGGAGAUGAAAUAAAGAAAUAUUAUAGAAAAACAAAGGAAAUGGGACGUUCCAGGAAGAUGUAUGGCUUUGGAGCACAGGAGGGUGCAGCGACAAAGUAUCAUUAAUGCAGUCUCACAAGGCUAAUCAGCAUAAAAAUCAUAGGAAUCUACUUUGUAUUCAGUUAUCCUUAUGCUCUACAUCCCUGACACCUACACUACAACCACAGCGUAUUGUUAAGGUUUGGAUUUUAAAUUCCACCCUCGGCCAUCUCUGUGUGGAGUUUGCAUGUUCUCCCCAUGCAUGCGUGGGUUUUCUCCGGGUACUCCGGUUUCCUCCCACAUUCCAAAAACAUGCUAGGUUA